rnacentral:rRNA from 1 species
AUUGAACGCUGGCGGCAGGCCUAACACAUGCAAGUCGAGCGGAGCGGCGGACGGGUGAGUAAUGCCUAGGAGUCUGCCUGGUAGUGGGGGAUAACGACCGGAAAGGGGCGCUAAUACCGCAUACUAUCAGAUGAGACUAGGUCGGAUUAGCUAGGUGUUGGGGUAAAGGCCUACCAAGGCGACGAACCGUACCUGGUCUAAGAGGAUGAUCAGUCACACUGGAACUGAGACACGGUCCAGACGCCUACGGGAGGCAGCAGUGGGGAAUAUUGGACAAUGGGCGAAAGCCUGAUCCAGCCAUGCCGCGUGUGUGAAGAAGUUCUUCGGAUUGUAAAGCACUUUAAGUUGGGAGGCGUUACCAACAGAAUAAGCACCGGCUAACUUCGUGCCAGCAGCCGCGGUAAUUC